rnacentral:rRNA from 1 species
GACGAACGCUGGCGGCGUGCCUAAUACAUGCAAGUCGAGCGAGCUUGCCUAGAUGAUUUUAGUGCUUGCACUAAAUGAAACUAGAUACAAGCGAGCGGCGGACGGGUGAGUAACACGUGGGUAACCUGCCCAAGAGACUGGGAUAACACCUGGAAACGGGUACUAAAACCGGAUAGGCAUAGAUGGGGCAUCCCAUUUAUGUUAAAGGUGAGAGACACAAACAGAUGGGCUUAUGGCGCAUUAGCCAGUUGGUGAGGUAACGGCCCACCAAAGCGAUGAUGCGUAGCCGGCCUGAGAGGGUGAACGGCCACAUUGGGACUGAGACACGGCCCAG